CCUACGGGAGGCAGCAGUGGGGAAUAUUGCACAAUGGGGGAAACCCUGAUGCAGCAACACCGCGUGAGUGAGGAAGUAUUUCGGUAUGUAAAGCUCUAUCAGCAGGGAAUAGAAAAGAAGGUACCUGAAAAAGAAGCCCCGGCGAACUACGUGCCAGAAGCCGCGGUAAUUCGUAGGGGGAAAGCGUUAUCCGGAUAUACUGGGUGUAAAGGGAGCGUAGACGGAAAGGCAAGUCAGAAGUGAAAGCCCAAGGCUCAACCAUGGGAAUGCUUUUGAUACUGUCAAACUAGAGUAAGGGAGAGGUAAGAGGAAUUCCAGGUGUAGCGGUGAAAUGCGUAGAUAUUAGGAGGAACACCAGUGGCGAAGGCGUCUUACUGGAUCUAAACUGACGCUGAGGCUCGAAAGCGUGGGGAGCAAACAGGAUUAGAUACCCGAGUAGUC
rnacentral:rRNA from 1 species